CAAGCUCGCGAGAGUAAGCUAAUCUCUUAAAGCCGUUCUCAGUUCGGACUGUAGGCUGCAACUCGCCUACACGAAGUCGGAAUCGCUAGUAAUCGCGGAUCAGCACGCCGCGGUGAAUACGUUCCCGGGCCUUGUACACACCGCCCGUCACACCAUGGGAGUCGGAUAUGCCCGAAGUCAGUGACCCAACCAUAUGGAGGGAGCUGCCGAAGGUGGAGCCGAUAACUGGGGUGAAGUCGUAACAAGGUAAC
rnacentral:rRNA from 1 species